rnacentral:rRNA from 1 species
CGUGCGUCGGACUACCAUGCAGUCGAGCGGAAACGAGUUAUCUGAACCUUCGGGGAACGAUAACGGCGUCGAGCGGCGGACGGGUGAGUAAUGCCUAGGAAAUUGCCCUGAUGUGGGGGAUAACCAUUGGAAACGAUGGCUAAUACCGCAUGAUGCCUACGGGCCAAAGAGGGGGACCUUCGGGCCUCUCGCGUCAGGAUAUGCCUAGGUGGGAUUAGCUAGUUGGUGAGGUAAGGGCUCACCAAGGCGACGAUCCCUAGCUGGUCUGAGAGGAUGAUCAGCCACACUGGAACUGAGACACGGUCCAGACUCCUACGGGAGGCAGCAGUGGGGAAUAUUGCACAAUGGGCGCAAGCCUGAUGCAGCCAUGCCGCGUGUGUGAAGAAGGCCUUCGGGUUGUAAAGCACUUUCAGUCGUGAGGAAGGUAGUGUAGUUAAUAGCUGCAUUAUUUGACGUUAGCGACAGAAGAAGCACCGGCUAACUCCGUGCCAGCAGCCGCGGUAAUACGGAGGGUGCGAGCGUUAAUCGGAAUUACUGGGCGUAAAGCGCAUGCAGGUGGUUUGUUAAGUCAGAUGUGAAAGCCCGGGGCUCAACCUCGGAAUAGCAUUUGAAACUGGCAGACUAGAGUACUGUAGAGGGGGGUAGAAUUUCAGGUGUAGCGGUGAAAUGCGUAGAGAUCUGAAGGAAUACCGGUGGCGAAGGCGGCCCCCUGGACAGAUACUGACACUCAGAUGCGAAAGCGUGGGGAGCAAACAGGAUUAGAUACCCUGGUAGUCCACGCCGUAAACGAUGUCUACUUGGAGGUUGUGGCCUUGAGCCGUGGCUUUCGGAGCUAACGCGUUAAGUAGACCGCCUGGGGAGUACGGUCGCAAGAUUAAAACUCAAAUGAAUUGACGGGGGCCCGCACAAGCGGGGGAGCAUGUGGUUUAAUUCGAUGCAACGCGAAGAACCUUACCUACUCUUGACUUCCAGAGAACUUUCCAAAAAUGGAUUGGGGCCUUCGGGAACUCUGAAACAGGGGCUGCAUGGUUGGCCUC